rnacentral:sRNA from 1 species
UUUUUUUUUCAUUUUUUUUU